ACAAUAGAAAAAGUCUAUAUACAUUGUGUGCAAAAGGCAUGAGGAGGUAGGCGAAUAAUUACAAUUUUGCAGAUUAACACUGGAGUGGCUAGAAGGGAUGUGGAAGUGUAAUCAGAUCUGAACGGAUUGGGCAUUGCCAAAAUCCCAAAGUAUCCCUUUAAAUUGAACAAGCCGCAGUAUGGCUGUGAUGGUGACCCCUGACGAGCUGACUGCCCUGCUGAUGGAGAGGGGCGCCAAACUGGAUUAGGUCAACGAUGAGGGAUACAUUCCACUCAUAGAGUCUGCACGAGGAGAUGGUGGUGCUGCUUUUGGCACAAGGUAUGGCCUUCUCUCUCUCCCUCUCUUUCUCUCUUUCUCUCUUUGAAUUAAGCCAGUACUUCUGUUUUUGAGAUUUGACCUACCAUGUCCAAGCUCAGUGUCGAGGCAAAAUACAAAACCCCUCAUUCGGAAAACAACAUUGAUUAUAUUCAGAUACAGUUUUAAGCUCCUGAUCUUAUUGAGUUGACAAGCUGGCUUUUCCAAAUCAAUUUGAAAUAAUUAUUCUGGGGUCAAUAGCCAACAGUGGGAAUAGAUUAGUGCUCCUUUAAAAGUGUGUUCCCUGCAAAACGAUCUUGAAUCCUCCCUCUAUAUUGUCUCUGUUUUCUGCAGCUGCCAACAUCAACUGCUGGGGCCGACAUCGAGCUGGGCUGCUCAACGUCUUGAGCUGAAUACCUGCUGGAUGUAGGAGCCAAUGUCCAUGCCACAACGGCAACAGGAUAUACGGCGCUGACGUACGCUUGUGAGAACGGAUGUGGCUGAGGUGCUGCUGCAGAUGGGGGCUGACCUGGUGAGACCUCACCCUCUGGCCUCAUCUCUAUGAAGCACAGUUCAUGUCAAUACACAUCCUUUUUGCAUGAGUUGUUCACACGUUUGCAUAAGUGUGGGUGUGCCUCCCAAAUCUCACCAUAUUCCCUUCAUAGUGCACUACUUUUUACCAGGGCACUCAGGGCUCUGGUCAAAAGUAGUGCACUUUAUAGGGUAUGUGUCAAACACAAGGCCUGUGGGUUGAAACUGCCUGUGAAACAAUUCUAUCCUGCCUGCAGAAUGAUUAAGGUUGUCAAUUCAUUUUGGCCUGCUUCCAUACUGCCCCGCGAUGAGCUGCACUACAAGCCACAGCAAGCACUGCCAAUGUGAUGCACGCCAAACAGUAGUGCAUUGCCACACACUUCCCAGACACACACACACACACACUAGAGCCAGCCAGUGCGAUAUAUCAUAUCAUUACUAAUGGCACUGACCAAAUCUCCUACCGGGCCAAAAGUUUAAAGGGUUAUAGGCUUAACGUCCAUGCCAAGUUAAGCUUCUGAAGAUUCAUUGCUGUAGCCUACAGAAAAUGUAAUCUUGCUUGUCAACAUAUUGUAAAAUAAAGGAUUCACACAUGGGUAUAAAUUACUACUUAAUGACAAUAGGACACACAAACGAGUAUAAAUGAGUCAACAGUUGAGCCAUCUACUUUAUAGAAUUACAGCCUGAUGCGCUUGCAUCUUUGAAUUCAACGUCAAUUACGCCGCUUUUGUAUGUCCAGUUAACAGCACGCAGCGGAGGGAAAGUGUACAUAGAUACAUGCCACAGUCCUAGCUAGGCUACUAAAAUGUUGCAGUCUGGCUUUUUAAACUUGACAAUGAAUCAAAACAGAAAAAACGGUAUGUAUUAAUUUGGGAAUGUUCAUCACCCAUUUCGUAUGAUAUGUUACAAAUUCAAAAUUUGGAUUAUAUGUUACAAAUUCGAAAAACAUACAAUAUAUUACGAAUUUGAAAAAUGUAUAAUAUGUUACGAAUUCUAGCUAAGUGGCUUACGUUUGCUAGGUCAUUAGGGAAAGGGUUAGCUAAAUGGGUUAAGGUUAGGGUUAGGUGAGGGGUUAGCUAAAAGGGUUAAGGUUAGGGUUAGGGGAAGUGUUAGCUAACAUGCUAAGUAGUUGCAAAGUAGCUCAUAAGUAGUAAGUAGUUGAAAAGUUGCUAAUUAGCUAAAACACUAUAGAUGUCCAUGACGAGAUUUGAACUCGCAACCUUUGGGUUGCUAGACGUUAGCAUUGUACUCCCACACAUCCACAUCCACCCCAACCAACCACCCUACUUUGUUUUUGCCUUAAGUAAAUCAAAUCAAAUGUAUUUAUAUAGCCCUUCUUACAUAGGCUGAUAUAUCAAAGUGCUGUACAGAAACACAGCCUAAAACCCCAAACAGCAAGCAAUGCAGGUGUAGAAGCACGGUAACCAUCUGUCUUAUGUAACCAUACAGUACCAAACUGUAAUAAAAUAUCAUACUAAAUUAAGUAUUCCGGAUUUACAUACAGAAUAAUACGAAAUGCUCUGAGACCAGGUUGGUCCAUCCAUGCAAUCCAUAAAAACAAUAAACAUGUUUUAUGUUUAAAUAUUUCAACAACCUAGCUACAUUUGGGUUAUUUUGAGUUUUGAUUAUGCACAUCUAGCAGCAAAGGCUGGACACGUUAAUUAUCUCUUCUUUUGUUUUAAUAUGCUAAAUUGCUCUAUACAGUAUCCUACAGUAUGUACAUAAGUAGACAUAAAGGUCUAUGUUUUUUUCUAACUAAACAAUGGCCAGUUUGGGUGGCAAUUGUAUGCAUGUUGUUUUGUAAAAACAGACCUAUGUCUGGCCUGCAAAUUUGUUGUGUUUUUUCACUAUGGCCUGUGUGCUGAUUCAGUUUGACACCCUUGUUAUAGGGAAUAGGGUGCCAUUUAGGGCGUAGGCUGGGUGUUGUUUAGAUGCAUGACUGCUUGAAUACGCUCAUAUGUUUCCAUGUGUCCGUUUUACUCGCUCCUGUUUGUCUUGCAGAGACAUGAAUGGUAGGGGGACAGAACCCCUCUAAUGAAAGUCAAGAAGGACCAAUGUUUGGCGGGGUCAUUUGCAGAAUCCAAAUUGUCAGCAUUGUGUAUCCUACUUUUGUGUCAAAUAGUUAUGAAGAAAUUGUGGUCAGUUAACAAAUACUAUGUCUUGUUUGAUUUUUUUUGGCCCGGUGCUAGCCAAGGCCAAUGUUAAUAUGCAUGUAUUUUUUGCUAAUAAAGUCUCACAAUUGGUAACAUUUUUAGCUGAAUGCGCAUGCAUUUAGAUGUUAUUGCGUGUUCUAUAUUUUCAGUCACACUGUUGCAUGAAAGGAGAUCCAUGAAGUUAACAUUGACAGCAUCUCUAAGCCUGAGUUCCUGUCGAGUAAACCUAAGGAGGGCUCACCUAGGGAACUCUGCACUCACAAUUCCAUUUAGUUCAGGAACUGAAUGGCCAUUCUUAUGGGGAAAUCAAAUGUCUCAUUCAACUGAAUUGAGAUUAAAUUGAUCUGUAACUCUUGAUUUGCUCUGGCUACUCCCAGUAUUGAAUGGGGCAGUGCAUUUCCUCAAAAUCAAGGUGGUCCCUGACAGUUGGAAGACGGACAUGAACGAGAUAUUAGAAUCGUCCAGCAGCGACGAGGAGGACACGGAAGGAAAGGAGAGUGAAGAGGAGAAGAAGGUGCUAAGGGUGGUCACACCAUUGUGGUGUCCUACCUCCUCCACUAACCCAACAACAUCCUGUCGGUCCCCACGCAAGACCUAUCCCCUCCCAUGACACCUCUCAGGUAGGGACCGCUAGUUACUAACAGACAAAUAACUACUGUACUUCUACAAACAUGUUUGUUUAUUUGUCUGGAUGGAGUUGUAUUGACACCAAGUUGAUACCAAAUAUUGAUACCAACUAUACUUUUGUAAUAUCUCCUUACAUCUUAUGAGUUCCAAGCUCUGGCCAUUGUGGAGCCAGAGAGUAUCUUCUAACAUUCCAACACCUGCACCCGUCAUCACAAAAGGUGGCUCCAAGCAGAGGCAGUGCCCCCUACAGGAUAACCCUGUCAUUGCAGACAGUCCAGACAGACAUGCUGCCCCCCUUCCACCCGUACCAGCCCUUGGAGUCCAUUGUGAAAGAGACAGAGUGCAAGCUGAUCUCCAGCCAUAGAGAAGACCCAGCUGCAGAAUAAGAUGAUCCUCAAGGGGCAGUAAACUAAAGAGUAAAUGAAGGCCGAAGGCCUGAACGAUGACCCGGGCAGCCCCUUUGCACUUUGGCCUCCCAGCAGUCCAGACUUUAGUACAGCAGACUACCCCGACAGCUCCAGCCCUGACCUGCUGAUGCUGAUGGUGAGUCAGCAGUAGAUGUUGGGGCAGCAGUUGACAGGCCUGGGACCGGCCUUCUCACCCAGGCCCCCGACGGACUACUAGUGGCCUUCCCCCUACAGAUCGUCACAGACACACCGGUUGACAUCAUGGUAGAUACAGUGCCUUCCAAAAGUAUUCACACCCUUUUCAGCACAUUUUGUUGUGUUACAAAGUGGGAUACAAAUUGAUUUAAUUGUCAUUUUUUGUCAACGACUGUAACACUUGUAAAAAUGUACAGUUUAAAAAAGGAAAAUAAAACACUUGAUUAGAUAAGUAUUCAACCCCCUGAGUUAAUACACCUUUUGCAGCAUUUACAGCAGUGAGUCUUUCUGGGUAAGUCUCUAAGAGCUUUGCAUACCUGAAUUGUACAAUAUUUGCCAAUUAUUCUUUUUUAAAUUCUUCAAGCUUUUUAAAUUCUUCAAGUUGGUUGUUGAUCAUUGCUAGAUAGCCAUUUUCAAGUCUUGCCAUAGAUUUUCAAGACGAUUUCUAGUCAAAACCACUCAGGAACAUUCAAUGUCUGCUUGGUAAGCAACUCCAGUGUAUAUUUGGCCUUGUUUUUUAGGAUUUUGUCCUGCUGAAAGAUGUCUGUUGGAAAGCAAACUGAACCAAGUUUUCCACUAAGAUUUUGCCUAUGCUUAGGUACUUAGUGAUGUGUUGUGUUGGAUUUUCCCCAAUCAUAACGCUUUGUAUUCAGGACAAAAAGUUCAUUUUUUUGCCACAUUUUUUGCAGUAUUACUUUAGUGCCUUGUUGCAAACAGGAUGCAUGUUUGGGAAUAUUUGUAUUAUGUACAGGCUUCCUUCUUUUCACUCUGUCAUUUAGGUUAGUAUUGUGGAGUAACUACAAUGUUGUUGAUCCAUCCUCAGUUUUCUCCUAUCACUCAGCCAUUAAACUUUGCAACUGUUUUAUAAUCACCAUUGGCCUCAUGGUUAAAUCCCUGAGCGGUGUCCUUCUUCUCUGUCAAUAGAGUUACUGAAGGACGCCUGUAUCUUUGUAGUGACUCUGUGUAUUGACAAACCAUCCAAAGUGUAAUUAAUAACUGCACCAUGCUCAAAGGGAUAUUCAAUGUCUGAUGAUUUUUUUUUACACAUCUACAAAUAGGUGCCCUUCUUUGCGAACCGUUGGAAAACUUCCAUGGUCUUUCUGGUUGAAUCUGUGCUCAAAAUUCACUGCUCGACUGAGGGACUUUACAGAUACAGUGGAUUCGGAAAGUAUUCAGACCCCUUGACUUUUUCCACAUUUUGUUACCUUACGGCUUUAUUCUAAAAAGGAUUAAAUAGUUUUUCCCCUCAUCAAUCUAUACACAAUAUCCCAUAAUGACAAAGCAAAAACAGGUUUUUAGAAAUGUUUGCAAAUUUAUUAAAAAUAAAAAAUGGAAAUAUCACAUUA